CGCGUAGGUGGUUAAGUCAGUCAGAUGUGAAAGCCCCCGGGCUCAACCUGGGAAUUGCACCUGAUACUGCUUAGCUAGAGUACGGUAGAGGGAAGUGGAAUUUCCGGUGUAGCGGUGAAAUGCGUAGAGAUCGGAAGGAACACCAGUGGCGAAGGCGACUUCCUGGACUGAUACUGACACUGAGGUGCGAAAGCGUGGGGAGCAAACA
rnacentral:rRNA from 1 species